rnacentral:misc_RNA from 1 species
CAAGGGAGUGUGUAGUAGCUGGUGAUAGGGGAGAGGAUCAGAAACUGAAAACGAAAUGAGAGGAUUCCCUACUAUCUUUGCAUUCUUGGUGGUGUUAAUAUUUUCCACCACCAGGAAUAGUUGCAGUGCUGCUUUCCUUCAGAAGAGCAACACCACUUUCCGGUGUGAGGAUGGCCACCUGGACGAGUGCCUGAUCGCCGAGGACUUGGAAUUAGAGGUGUUGAUGGAUUCUUACAUUACCCGAAUCCUUGAUGAUACAGCUGAUCCGUAUACUGAUUUCACCUUGCACGCUGCCGAAGUCAGAGUGUGUAAAAGCAAUGAAAAUCCAUCAUAUAAUCAUUGCAAAUGCCCCAUUUACAACCCCAAUUGCGGAAAAAAAUAGAAAAAACCAUAGCUGUGGUUACUGUUUUUAUCCCAUUUAUUAUCUAUAUGUAUGUUUGUGUGACAAUGUCUGCUUCAUCCCCACUUCCCCGGCGCGAUUCCCUCUUUGGGUCAAUAACAAACUUCAUUCUGCAGAGAUGAAGAACAAGAUAGAAAUGAAUCAAUCCCCCCACUAUGAUCAACAUGUAUGCUUUUGCGGUUUCCUUGCUAAAUGUUAUGUCUUUUCCAAAUGUGUCUAUAUAUAUA